GACGAACGCUGGCGGCGUGCUUAACGCAUGCAAGUCGAACGUGAUUUUUGUGGAAAUUCUUUCGGGAAUGGAAAUGAAAUGAAAGUGGCGAACGGGUGAGUAACACGUGAGCAACCUACCUUACACAGGGGGAUAGCCGUUGGAAACGACGAUUAAUACCGCAUGAGACCACAGAAUCGCAUGAUAUAGGGGUCAAAGAUUUAUCGGUGUAAGAAGGGCUCGCGUCUGAUUAGCUAGUUGGAAGGGUAAAGGCCUACCAAGGCGACGAUCAGUAGCCGGUCUGAGAGGAUGAACGGCCACAUAGGAACUGAGACACGGUCCAAACUCCUACGGGAGGCAGCAGUGGGGAAUAUUGCACAAUGGGGGGAACCCUGAUGCAGCGACGCCGCGUGAGCGAAGAAGGUUUUCGAAUCGUAAAGCUCUGUCCUAUGAGAAGAUAAUGACGGUAUCAUAGGAGGAAGCCCCGGCUAAAUACGUG
rnacentral:rRNA from 1 species